UUUUGCACGUUUCUGACAAAAUACAUGGUGAAUUUGAGUUAAAACAUGUUCGAUCCAGAAAAUGUGUGCCAUCAUACCUCCCGGUUUCAACCGGCAGUCUGUGAUUACAUGUACGGAAUUUGAAAAAAGUAAGGUAAUCAUUCUUCGGAAGAAUUCGGAAAUAAUUUUCAUAUUCUAAGUUAUUUUUAAAACUAUUAUAUAUCAUUCCUUUAAUAGACUGUUGCAUCUGGGUGUGCCAUUCUUGUUGAAAUUGGUCAAUGAGAGUUUGUUUAAUUUGCUUAUGCAGAUGUUUUGUGACAGAAGUAUUCUGGUAUAACCAUAGGUCAGGUCUUCCAACAGAAUUUAGAAUUUCCUUGAUUUUACUUAUCCAUUUAUAGUCGACCUGGUCCUGAGAUAUCAAAUAUUUGUAAAUUAUAGAAGA
rnacentral:lncRNA from 1 species